UACGAAGGGGGCUAGCGUUGCUCGGAAUUAUUGGGCGUAAAGCGCACGUAGGCGGCUUGGCAAGUCGGAUGUGAAAUCCCUCGGCUCAACCAAGGAAGUGCAUCCGAAACUGCUGAGCUUGAGUACUUAAGAGGAUCGCGGAAUUCCCGGUGUAGAGGUGAAAUUCGUAGAUAUCGGGAGGAACACCAGUAGCGAAGGCGGCGUCCUGGACCGACACUGACGCUGAGGAGCGAAAGCCAGGGGAGCAAACGGG
rnacentral:rRNA from 1 species